ensembl:snRNA U2 U2 spliceosomal RNA
AUCGCUUCUCGGCCUUUUGGCUAAGAUCAAGUGUAGUAUCUGUUCUUAUCAGUUUAAAAGACAUAUAUUUCAGGUAAAUCAAAAGAGGAAAGGAAACUUCAGUUGAGGGCUACUCAUCUCAAUCCUUAAACAACUUUGUGAUGGUAAAUUAAU